rnacentral:rRNA from 1 species
UACCAGCACCCCGAGUGGUCGGGACGUUUAUUGGGCCUAAAGCAUCCGUAGCCGGUUCUACAAGUCUUCCGUUAAAUCCAGCUGCUUAACAGAUGGGCUGCGGAAGAUACUAUGGAGCUAGGAGGCGGGAGAGGCAAGCGGUACUCGAUGGGUAGGGGUAAAAAUCCGUUGAUCCAUUGAAGACCACCAGUGGCGAAGGCGGCUUGCCAGAACGCGCUCGACGGUGAGGGAUGAAAGCUGGGGGAGCAAACCACGG